rnacentral:rRNA from 1 species
AAUGAACGUUGGCGGCGUGGAUUAGGCAUGCAAGUCGUGCGCGAACUGUAGCAAUACAGGGAGAGCGGCGAAAGGGAGAGUAAUACAUAGGUACCUACCCCCGGGCCUGGGAUAGCGACGGGAAACUGCCGGUAAUACCAGAUAACGUCCCCGGACCAAAGAUGUGACUUCACCUGGGGAGGGGCCUAUGGCCUAUCAGCUUGUUGGCAGGGUAACGGCCUACCAAGGCAAAGACGGGUAUGGGGCGUGAGAGCGUGCCCCCACUCACUGGGAAUGAGACACUGCCCAGACACCUACGGGUGGCUGCAGUCGAGAAUCUUCGGCAAUGGGCGCAAGCCUGACCGAGCGACGCCGCGUGCGGGAUGAAGGCCUUCGGGUUGUAAACCGCUGUCGUAGGGGAGGAAGGGCCUGUGAAGAACAGGACUUGACCGAUCCUAGGAGGAAGGGCCGGCUAAUCUCGUGCCAGCAGCCGCCGUAA